AAAAUUGUCACCUACUGCUGUGUGAUAUGCAUUUUUUACAUGGGUUUGGAAUUGUUAGGUACUAUAAUAGGUGCAUGAAGGUGGUUGUAGAAGAUGUCGCAUGGCAUCUGAGGCGUGAAUAUUUAUUUGGUUCAGUUGGCGAUGAUCAACACCUGCUUAUAUGGGAUCGAUGUCCGGACUCCAUCAGUUAGCAAGCCUGUCCCCUCUGUUAUUGCUCAUCAAAGUAAAUUACCCAACAAAAACCUCCCCUUCACUGAACCCAAUACUUCAAAAGCAAAAAAAAAAAUAAAAAAAUGAAACCUUAAUUAUAGAAACAAAUUUUCUUGCUUUUCCUUCUCUUUCCCACCAUUUUUUCUCGGCAAGCGAACAGGGGAUAAGAGAGACGAACUGAACUUGCCUCGGUUCUGACGACCCAAGAUGGCUUAGUGAAGGAGAGAUGGGACAAGGGGCUUGGAUUCCGCGGAGAAGGUGUACCGUUGGAUUUUGCGGACUCUAAUCGGACGGCUGUUGAUAAGCUCGGCGUUCCCACUGCCAUUCUAUCAAUGCCGACUCCGAAACACAACUAUGGACUGUGUGUGUUGGUUAAAUACAGCUCGAUGUUCUUGGACGGACCGCCGUAGGGGCGUUUGUACGAUUCAAAUGUCUACGCAUUUACCAUGUCACACACAAUAUGUUUGAUGAAAGGCCUCAACCAGUUCACUGGAUUCAUGCAUUCCAGUUCACAAUAUGUAUUGAAUUUUGUAUUCUAUACAUAACAUGUAAUCAAGUAGGAUUCAAAUUCUAAGAAGUAUUGGGUUUCCUCUGUUUGCUCAAACUCUGUCUGUGUUGUUCAGUUGGACUCAAUAUCUGCUGCGUGAGUUUAUCUUCAGAUGCUUCUAUCUUCAUUUGGUUCUGUAGCCGAGGAGACUUCAAUAGUAUCUUCAAUACCCCGAAAAGGAGGGCAUGAAGUAGCAAGUCGAGUUGAGGGUAUAAUCAAAUACGCUUAACUCAAAUUAGCAUCUAACACUUUCAUGGAGGGGACAACUUAUGAGACAAGUUCGAGAUACGGAAGGGGUGACCAACAAGCUAAAUUAAAAUGUCUUGCUAUUAUUGCAAUUCAAGGAAAGGAGGAGAAGAGCAGGUGGAUCAAUUAGCGACGCCAUUCUUCAGGAAAAGUUGAUGAAAAAGAGAGAAAAUGGAAGAGGAUGUUGGAUAUUGGUUUCCAUGUUGUUUUGUCAAGUCGUAAAGUUCUUUGACUAUGAUCAAGUGAUGGAAUUUGAUCUGGAGCUAUUGACUAAUAAGGUCUGAGUAACACUUGAUUAGACUAUAAUCUAGGGUUAUGUUAUGUUGUACAAAAGGUCUCGAUUACUUGUGCAUGAAUAACCAAAAAGAGAUUUGAUGUAGUAGAUUUUGUUACGUUUUAGAAUCGGCAUGCACAUAGUUUACACAUUUUUUGAAGCAUCCAUUUGAACAUAAAUUGGCAUAAAAAAAUUAUUGGUAAUCUUUUACUAGCUGGAACAAUCUUAAAUGCUACACUAGAAAAGGAAUUAUACUGUCUACCUCCUGGUGUUUCCUUUUGUGCAUCUCACUUUAUAUAAUUUCUACACCGAAGGCAGUCAAUCUUCUCUCUAACUCAUGGAUGAGAGAAACAUUCAAGCAUUUCUCAAGACGAUCUUAGCCUUAUUCUUGUUGCUAUUACCCUUUUGAUCUCUCUUGCUCCACCAAAUUUAAUGUCCGGAGAUUCUUUCAUUCUUCGAAGUUAGAACUAAUCAUGUCUCUUUGCUAAGUUGUUGAAACUUUGAGAUCUUGAGGAGUACUCCUGUACGAGUUUAGAGAAGAAAGAAUCCGGCCGUUUCAGUAGCUUUCCUGGAGUGUCAUAUUCUGCAAUUCUUCCUGUUUAAGCAGAAGUCCUUUAGAGACUCGUUCAAUAUUUUCAUGAUAUAUACUUUAGAGUGUAUGUCAUUAUAUACGUUCAUGAAUUAUACUUGCCUUCACUGAGGACCAACACGAGAUCGCUAUCUAUAACUGUGUGGAUUCUGUGAGCUAUAGUGACAACUGUCCGAUCUUUGAACUCUUGACUAAUGAUUUUUUGUAUCACUCCAUCAGUUGCAGAAUCAACUGAUGCUGUUGCUUCAUCCAGUACGAGAAUGCUACUCUUCUUCAGCAAGG